AUGUUUAUCUCUUUAAUUCCUCUGUGAAUCUAACAUACAGAUGACUAGGUCCCAUAGGACACAGGAAAAAAAGCAACAUGUUGCAAACAAGUGUCAAAAUAAAGCACUGAAUUAGUCUUUAAGCCUUGCUAACCACUAAUUGAAGUAGCUUUGAUAAAAACUAUUUGAGGCCAGCACAGUGGCUCACACCUGCAAUCCCACCACUUAUGGGCAAGCAGUGAGGCUAAGGCAGAUCACUUGAGGUCAGGAGUUCAAGACCAGCUUCGCCAACAUGGUGAAACCCCAUCUCUACUACAAAUACAAAAAUUAGCUAGGCGUGGUGGCAGGCGCCUAUAAUCCCAGCUACUCGGGAGACUGAGGCACGAGAAUCACUUGAACCCAGGAGGCGGAAGUCGCAGUGAGCACUGCACUCCAGCCUGGGCUAUAGAGCGAGACUCAGUCUCAAAACAAACAAACAAAAAAACUUAUUUGAUAACCAUAAAUUGAUAUGCCUUACUUUUUUUUCUUUAAAUAGGAAGAGGGUUUCACCAUGUUGGCCAGGGUGGUCUCAAACUCCUGACCUCAAGUGAUCCACCCACCUUGGCCUCCCAAAGUGCCGGCAUUAUAGGUGUGAGCCACAGCACCCGGCCAAUUGAUAUACUUUUCAUUAAAGCUGUUUACAUUAGUCUCUCCCACUAAACUGGGUUCCCAGGCUUACAAGGGCAAUGACUGGGGAUCUCAUUCAUUGUCAUACUCUGUCUACAUGAAAUAUUCAGCAGGUAUCAAGUCUGCCAUUUUCCUUUAAAUUAAGAACACAGUUAUUUGGUUGGGCUGUAUUUGAUGGGGGUAGGGGUAAGGAAGGGGAAAAAAACUGAGGGAAAACUGUCCUCUCUUAAAUACAUAGGACAUGAAGAGGAACUGAGUUUGCUUUCAUUAUAAACUCAAGCCUGCCUCAAAAUACCAAAUUCUUUUCCCAUGUCCUUGUGCUUGCCAAACGCAUGAAUUUAGACUUACCCACAAUGUAAAACUCCAAAACCUUCAAUUUGGCCUAACUUAGAAUUCAUAAAUUUGGCUAAGCAAAUAAUAUGCAAGACUAAAUUCUGACAUUGUAUUUACCCUAACUAUGGUGUUUCCAAAUACAUUUUAAAAGAGCACCUUAACAGUUUUCACUUCAGACAAAUCAGAUAAUAAGGACACCCAGUUAAAGUCACUAAUCUAUGUUACUAGUUAAUAAUGGCCCUAGUACUAGAACCAUUCAAAUUACUUUCUUUAAAUAUUCAAAUUAAACUACCAUUCUCCUUAAUACACUGAUGUUCUCACAAACCAGUAGAGCACAACUCAGUAUAAUUUAAGUUUCUGUAGAUUCUUUCAAGGGGCCCUAUUACUUCACCACAACACUGUCUUAACCACAUGAAUUAGAGGUAUGAACCCUAAGAGUAAGAAUGCAUUCAGUCUCCAAUCUAUACUGGAUUAGUGCUACAUUAUAAAUUUAUUGAAGGUAAAGAUCAUUUUUUUUCCUACACAAAGCCUUAUAUUUAAGUUUCAAAGCCUCACAACUUAAACAUGUGAAAAUUAUAAACAGUCCCUUCAACUGUAUCAUUACUUAAAACUCCCAAAGUUCAGGAAAACAAUAAAUCACAGGUGGAACAGAUUCAAUAUGAGAAAAUGUAGCGGGAGUUGGAGAAUACAGUUUUUCGAGGGCAGAGGGGGCUGGCUUGCCCUUUUUACUAUUAUGUACACUACUACUACGUUAAGAUAACAAGCAUGGUUUUUAUGUUUCUUAAAACUAUCUUCUAAAAUAUAACAGUAAAAUACAGUAAAAAGAUACCUUAAGAGAAGCAUGGAAUGAGCCACAACCCUCUUAAUAAAGGAAGAAAAUCACAAUACUUAAGGAGAGACAACUGCAUCAAAUAUUACCGUGCACUAAAAUUAAUCUAACAAACUAUGUACACCUCUAGUUAAUUGUUUUCCCAAACUUUAGGGGGAAAGAUGUGAAACUCUCUAAUUCAGCAUAAACAGAUCAAUCCCAUUUUUGCCUGAGCUUCCAAAGUUCUGACAGCCUAACUACUCCACUGUGUCAGGAACAGUGUGCAGUCUUAAAGUACUGCAUCCACACAACCUGAACUUUCCUGCAAUUCAUGUUUUUGUUUUUAAUUGUCCUAAACACUAUCAAGGGAAAAAACAACAUUGGGGUUUCAGGAAAGAACUACGGUUUGCCAGAGAGAACAAGAUCUCCACAGGUAUUAUAAAGUCUCAAUGAUUCAACGUCUAUAAAGUUUCUUUAUAUGCCACUAUUUCUUAGUACCUUACCAGGUUACUUUGUUUUAGAUGACCUGUACUAUGGCCCAAAAAUGUUAACUUUCAACAAGACUCAUGGCCAGGCGCAGUGGCUCACACCUGUAAUCCCAACACUUUGGGAGGCCGAGGUGGGCGGAUCACCUGAGGUUGGGAGUUCGAGACUGGCCUGACCAACACGGUGAAACCCUGUCUCUAAAAAAUUAGCCGGCCUGGUGGCACAUGCCUGUAAUCCCAGCUACUCGGGAGGCUGACGCAGGAGAAUCGCUUGAACCCAGAGGCAGAGGUCGCGGUGAGCCAAUAUCGCGCCAAUGCACUCCAGCCUGGGCCACAAGAGCCAAACUCCGUCUCCAAAAAAAAAAAGAGAAAGAAAAAAAAGGAUUCAUGACCUAAUUACUUCUACCUGCUUAACCAUCUGCGUGAUCCCUCUUUCCAUCAUGGUUUCAAGCAAGUCUUAUUAUUCUGUUGCUUUUUUUCCCACAGCAGUAUUAAAUGCUGUCACACAGGUUGUUAACUCUCCCAGCUCUAUUUGGAAGUCUGUAUUAGACAGCAACAAGCAACAACAGACUUAUCACUGACUACAUUUCCCGGGCUUCUCCAGCAAUACUAAAAUCCCUUAGCCGAGAGUGCCUUCUUAUGACAGGUCUGGCCUGGGGAGAUAGUGAUCCACCUGUCCACUGGCUGCACUCUGCUGGUCCCACCUCUUAAAGUGCAAGGGACCUGAGGGACGACAGGCAGAAGGUCGAGUCUUACAUCCAUCCUCUCCCACCAUCUACAGCAAACCAAGUAAGAAAGGUGUCAAGGGAGGUCCCAAGUCCCAUGAGAACUAACCCAACAAUUUCCCACCUUACUUGCCUGUCAUGGACCAUUAGAAAUAGAACAGAAUUCUUAAGACACAAGAACUUCCUCUUUGACUUCAGAAGAGGAAAAAAAGCACGUACAACACGUAAGUGUAAAGCGAUAAAUUCUAAUCAACGCUGCAGAAAGAUAUGUCAUUUUAACACCAAUAAGCUCAAACUAACUUUCUAAAAACAUUUUCUAGGAUGGGUUAGCUGACAGAAAUCGCCCAUAUAAAGUUCUUAGCUUACAUUCUAUUAAACAUUUCUAGAGCAAGCUGUUUACUGUAAGACAAAAAACAGUAUAUCUGGACCUAAACCUAACCAUGAAAAAUGGGUCCACAGGCACCCUCUUAACCAUUUUUCCAAAGAAAUAUGUUUAAACGGCUUUACCAUGCAGAGCUAUGGCUUCCCGGAAGGGUUGCAAAUCAGUCUCUACAGAUGAGCUAGUUUCCGUUGAAGUAGCUCGGUUAGGGGACACUACAGUCAGUCUUGGGGGAGCUCUAGAGUUUCGUGGUGGAGGAACUUUUCCACACAGGAAGCUGAUCAAAUCUUCUCGACGAAUAGUUCUUCUGCGUUUUUUAACCCAAGCCAACAC
rnacentral:lncRNA from 1 species